AGGCAGGGGUUGGGCAUGGGGGCUCCCUCUGCCUUGAGAAGGGUAGAGCCGGGCAGUCAAGUCCCAGGAUAAUGAAAGGACCUUUUGGCAGUAAGAUGACAACGUUAUAAACAUGCCAUUGCCCCCACAAUUCCGCAGCCAGGGGUCUGUCCUGCAGACGGUCUCACACGUGUCCGUAAAAGUGGGGUAGGAGGACGUGCGCUGGAGCAUUGUUUGUGGGAGGAAAAUUGGCAGUAACUUCUUACUGUCCACUCACCGUUCAUCUUCAGGAAACGGUCAGUCAGUUGUCACUAUUUGCAAACAGCUCGCAGCCGUCCAGAAGAACACUAUAGAGAGAUGUGCCCUGAGACGGAAGGGGUCCACAAAUUCCCUCCAGGAUACCACACCUCCUCAGGCGCCUCUGGGCUGUGACAGUUUCUCAGACUUCCCUCGUCUUUGAUGACCUUGACAGUUUUGAGGAGCACACAUCAGGCUCUCCCGUGAUUACAUUGCGCCCACCUGCAUAAUCCAGAAUAAUCUCCCCAGCUCAAGAUCUUUAAGCACGUUUGUGAAAUCCUCCUGCCGUGGAAGGAGUGAGAAGGAACAACAGAGGAGACCAGACUGAGGAGAGCGCGGCUGGAGCCCUGGCCCCGAGCCAGAGAGAGGACGCAGGACAGCAGGACGCUUGUGUCGGCCGGCUUCUGAGAGGAGCAGCGAGGCAGGGGCUGUGGUGCUGAUGCUGCCGUGUGGGCAGAUGAGCCGGCUCGACUGAAGGUCCCUGCGGAGAGCUUCCACUUUCUCAUCGGAGGAUGCUGAUGGGGUCUGCCAGCGCCUGCUGCCAGGCCUCCAGCAUCCCUGGUCCACUGCAGCUCUGUGCAGGCAGGAAGCAUAGUGAGCCCGGUUUAUAAAGAAGGGAAAUGAGGCACAGAGGUUUGGGGAGCUGCCCAGAGUUGGGAUUCCAGCCCCUGCCCUUGGUGCCACCUCCAGCUGAAUUUUUGUUACUUAGUAAAUAAGUAAACAUCCUUAUUAAAAAGAAUUUGCACGGGGCCAAACCAGUGGCGCAGCGGUUAAUGUCGUUCCAUUUCAGUGGCCUGGGGUUUGCCGGUUCAGAUCCCUAGUGUGGACCACUUGUCAAGCCAUGCUGUGGCAGGUGUCCCACAUAUAAAGUAGAGGAAGAUGGGCACAGAUGUGAGCUCAGGGCCAGUCUUCCUCAGCCAAAAAAAAAAAAAAAAUUUGUACCAUUCAGAAGAAGAUGGAGUAAAGAGUGGUGGUCCUCCUUUUCUGGUGCAUUCACACACGUGUGCGCGCACACACAGAGACACACAUAGGCACGAAGUUUGUUAUCUUUAAAAAGAAGUAGAUCCCACUGCAUUUCUGCAACUGACUUUUGUUCAGUUACCCACAUACCUCAGCAACAUUUCCACGGACAUUACUGAACUGAGCAAUUCCACGUGCAUAAAUCCAUCCUCUCAGUCAGGGCCGUCCAAUAGAAACAUAACGCAAGCUACCAAGGCGGGGUAUGGGCCAGCUUAAAUUUUCCGGUAGCCACCUUAAGAAAAAAUCGCAAGAAACAAGUGAAAUUCAUUUUAAUGUUUUAUUUAACCUGGUAUAUCCAAAGUAUUAUCUUCUUAACAUCAUCAGUAUGGAAAUGAUGAGACACUUUACAUUCUUGGAAAUCCAAUAGAUUUCACCCUCACGGCUCAUCUCAAGUUCAACGAGCCACGUUUCAGGCACUCCAGGGCCACGUGGGGCUCGUGGCUCCUGUAUUGGAGAGGGCAGCCCAUGACGAUGGACUGUGGACUCUCCCACAGGAGCAAAGACCACGUCCGUGACCAAUUCAUCACAGCCCUGCCGGUGAGAGCCGCACCGUUGCAGCCAACCUCAGCGUCCCUGGCAGGGGCUGGCCGGGAACUGAUGGCCGGUCCUUCGAAACGCCACGGGCGGCCAGAAAGAGCAAGUUUAAGGACGGCUCUGAGAACGCUUGU